rnacentral:rRNA from 1 species
GAUGAACGCUAGCGGCAGGCCUAACACAUGCAAGUCGAACGGUAACAUGAGUAGCAAUACUUGAUGACGAGUGGCGCACGGGUGCGUAACGCGUAUGCAACUUACCUCUAACUGGAGAAUAGCAUUCCGAAAGGAAGAAUAAUACUCCAUAAUAUUACGAUGUGGCAUCACAUUGUUCUUAAAGCUUCGGCGGUUAGAGAUGGGCAUGCGUCUGAUUAGCUUGUUGGUGAGGUAACGGCUCACCAAGGCAACGAUCAGUAGGGGGCCUGAGAGGGUUAUCCCCCACACUGGUACUGAGACACGGACCAGACUCCUACGGGAGGCAGCAGUGAGGAAUAUUGGUCAAUAGACGAAAGUCUGAACCAGCCAUGCCGCGUGCAGGAUGAAUGCCCUAUGGGUUGUAAACUGCUUUUAUAUAAGAAUAAACCCCUUUACGUGUAAAGGGCUGAAGGUACUAUAAGAAUAAGGACCGGCUAACUCCGUGCCAGCA